UGGCCGCGCAAGUCUAUCGGAAAAUCCACCCGCCCAACGGGUGGGCGUCCGGUAGAAACUGCGUGGCUUGGGACCGGAAGGCGCGACGGGUACGUCCGGGGUAGGAGUGAAAUCCCGUAAUCCUGGACGGACCGCCGAUGGCGAAAGCACGUCGCGAGGACGGAUCCGACAGUGAGGGACGAAAGCCAGGGUCUCGAACCGGAUUAGAUACCCGGGUAGUCCUGGCCGUAAACAAUGUCUGUUAGGUGUGGCUCCCGCUACGAGCGGGUGCUGUGCCGUAGGGAAGCCGCUAAACAGACCGCCUGGGAA
rnacentral:rRNA from 1 species